AGCACUGAGGAACAUGGCCAGUGGGGAUGGGCUGGUGGUUGAACAAGAUGUUCCUAGUGGUGUUUUCCAACCUAAAUGAUUCUGUGAUUCUGUGACUUGCCACAUGAAAACUUCCAGUGAGAUGGAUGAGAAUAUCUUCUUUAAGGUAUUGUAUAGAUGAUAAAAUGUUACUUUCUCUCCCAACUCCCUUCUCCCUUCUUCUCUUUCACAUCUCAAAAUGUCAUUUCCAAACUCUAAGAAAACUGGUUUUCAAACUUAGUAAACUUUAACUAGGAAUAGCAUCUCUCUAUAUUUCCAUGAGAUGCUUAGAACAUUUUGUGGCACUUGGUGUUUAUAUGUUAGAUAAUGAUGCUGCGUCUUCUCUUACCACGUAGGUCAUUUUUCUUGUGUGCAUGUUGACAUGAUAACGAACAUCUGUUGUAUUGCACUUUUCUUUUUCUCAUUUAAGGUGUUCAGUAAACAUUUACAUCAAGAACAGGAAUCUGGUGGCCACAUAAGCAAGUGAUGAGAUAGAAUGUUCAACGGACAACUGUGCCAGCUUUCAUUAGAGAUCAGCAGCAGGUAAUUGUUGUUUUUUUACUGAUACUGCAUCACGUAUACAAAUAACUGUCUUUGAUGUUCACAGAUGAUUAAUGUGAUGGUUCUGUGGCCUGACAGCUAAUAAUUUACAUUCUUGCUCAACUCCUGGGAUAUGCACUUCUAUCUUCCCAGGAAUUGUUAGCGUGCUCCUUUCAAGCUGUUCCCUAUGGCUUUGUAUUGCUGUGCAAUAAGGGCAGUUUCUACCUGAAAUCUUCUGGCCCUGACAGUGUUCCCGUAGAAUGUCACAAGCUUCUCCAGAUACAGGGUAAGGCAAGCUUCAAAUAGAGAUAAAAGGCAGGGAAAAAAGUUCAUUUUUUUCAGAGUGGAGGUGAAACCCAUUACGGAUCUACAUUAGGCUCUGUGCUGUUUUAAAUGCUUGUAAACAAUUUGGAAAUGUAGAUGGCUAGUGAGUGGCUGAUGGGUAGGAGAGGAUAUCAGAUUCCAAAGACAUUUCAGGAUGCUCUAAUCAUGUUUGGGGAUUUUCUGUGUAUCAAGGUGCUAUGGUAUCUAAUCUGGCUUGUCAGACAUCACGGAGACAUCACAAUGUGGACAGAAUGUGGUUCGGGAAGAGGAGAAACCUUGAAACUUAUGUUUCUGACAGGUUUGUAUGAAAAACUCCUUGCUUCAAGAGCAGGAUCCACUCAGAGGAAAAUCGUUUUUUUUAAUAUAAAUGAUAGUGUUUUUUGCAAUAACAAUCCAAAGAGAGGGUGAGGGUUUUGCACAGUACAGGACUUCUUUGUGUACAGAUGCAAUGUUUAACUGCUCUUAUCAGCUCAGGCUUAAGAAAUGCUUUAAAUUCCUAUUGUAAAUGUGUGUUUAUGUCAAAAAGCUCAAGCAUGGGAAAACUGAUACCAGUGCAAGUACUGUGUCUAUCCUUCCAGUAAAAUGAAGUACAGUCCUAUACAGCCCUUGUAUUUGGUGCUGGUAGCGAUUGAUAGCCCACACCCAAUGCACUUCUGAGAGGCAGCGGGCUUUGCUUUCUGCGAGCUGCAGUGUUGGGGUGAAGCAUCUGUCAGCCCAGAAGCCUUGCUGGAGCUGUGAAGGUGUGAUGUUGGCCAGACCAGGCCAGGCCAGCAGAGACUGCAGAACAGCCAGAGAUGCCAGCUCCCAGCAGUGACUCAGACCAAGUGAUAAUGCCUGCCCUCAGUGUGAGGAGCCAGCCACUGCUUGUGCUCUCAUUAUCAGCUGGAUGGAUGGCUGUGGUCCUACGUAUCCCCAGAGCUGCAGCGCAGUGGGGUCUGGCUGAUUUUCACCUUUCCUUUGCCUCCAAUACUAUGCAGCAACUGCAAGCUGGAAAUCAAAGCUGCUUCAUUGUGGUUUGGGUAAUAGAGACUUAAAGAUUUCCUCAGCCUGCUGAAACAGGUCGCGGCAGUAGGCAAUCCUCCUCAUUUCUCUGGGAUAUUAAAAACCAGGCAGACAGUGUCUCUGCAUUUCCCAAUCUGCAAUGACUCAGUUAUCCUUGCAAGUGAGGAGAGAGGCUGCUCCUCAGCACAAUGUGCAUCUUACCAUUAUGGCUUGCUACAGGGUGCUGAUAGUGGUUUACAAUGCUUAAUUUUAAUGUCAAACAAGGCAAACUGUUUCAGAGCCCAGUUUAACUCCUCACUGCCAGACAGGAGGGAAGCAGUCCAGGUACAGCUGUGUAAGUACUUUGAUUUUUGUGUGAACCUUGAAUAACCCUGAGGAAUUCAUUAUUCCGUCUUUACCAUCAGCACACAAACAAACAUGCUUGCUAUAAAUAGUAAUUUCAUUAUCGGGGUAGGCAGAGGAGCUUCCUGCCUGUGUGGCUUUGACAUUGACACAACCAGCCUAUCAUUUUUAACACCUAUUAUAUAUAAUAAUAUAAUAACCACGAUUAAUAUAUAACUACCUCUUAGGUUAUAUCUGUAUACAUAUAUGAAAGUUAUUAAUAAAAAUCUGUAUCUAAAAAUAAGUAUGUGCACACACAUGUAUAAACAUAUACAUAAAUACAACUUCUAGUCCUUUUAAAAAAACUUAAGCUCAUGUAAAGAGGAAGGAGAGAAGCUUGGGGAGAUGAUUGCUGCUAUUGGAGGCUUCCCCACAUGGCUCACACCAAUGCAGCUGGCUCUUGCUCUCUCUCUUCCUGAGACCUGUAUUGUGGCCUGUGGCCUCCUGACAUUUCUUAAAUCCAACACAGCUCAGAAAAGAGGAAGAGUAACUUGAGGAACCGUCUUUCAAAAAAAAGCCCAACAACAGAGCAACAAGCCCAAGAGGGUGCUGCCCACAUUUGGCAGAGGCAGAUUUGGCAGCUGCCAGGAUGGUCCCUCAAGCGCUACUGAAGCCUUGAUGCUGCUUUUGGUUCCUUGAAGCACUCCAUUCCAGGCCUUUGCCCACAACUACGUCAGAAAACCUCUCUGCCCCCCACUCAUUUCCCAGCUGAGAAGUGGAGAUGUUCAGAGCCGUGUGCCCUUGGUGAAGGAUUGCUUCAGCUCAAACCAAGGGCAAACACUGGGAACAAAAAGCUGAAGAGAUUACGUUUGUGCUGAGAUGCCCUUCCCAGUAUCUCCAUUUGGCCAUCCUUGCAAGGUUUGAGACCAAGCAAACCUGCUGCAGCUUGGGAAAGCUGAAAGCUUGCCCCCUAGACCUACUCCCUUGAGCUCUUCCCAGUGGGGAAAUGGAAAUCCUCCUCUGUGAAGUCGAAAUGGGAUAUCCAGCCACGAUCUGCCUGCUGUAGCUCAAGUCCUGCUGGCGGAAACAGGAAAAUGUUCCAACAGCAGCAGCAGCAGCUCUGGCCGGUCCAACUUCUUCUCAUUCCUUACAGCGCCUCAAACGCUCAGUGCCAUCUGAAAGGACUGCCAAGUUGUCACAGAGGAGUUCUACUAUCAAAGGGCAAAUGGGCUGAUAUUACCAAGAAUACAUUCGGCAGCAGCAAUGUGGGAGCGCACACCCAGCAAGCAAGGGAAAUUACACAGGAAAUUACCCCAAGAGUCCUGAAGGCAGCUAAUGUGGUCCUUCUUUGACAAGGCCAGCUUUUGGCUUGGACAUCUCCACUUGCUCACAUCUUGUUUCAGGCACAAAGAUUCUCAGCUAGCUCCUUCUCUAGAUCCUGUUUGCUUGUGUGGGAUGACUAUGGACCAUCACCUCAUGGCAUGCUAGUGGCUGAGAUGCUGUACCUUCUUGGGGUCUGAUGUGUCUACUUUCCACCAUGUAAGUCUUCAGCUAAUGAGCAGCUUGCUUUGGCCAGUGAUCCAGAACAAACACUUUGAGUUACUAGGUGAUAUUCAAACAGCUUACGUCUGUAGGCUGCACGCAGUGCAUGCUGCUGCAGCUCUUUUGAGGUUAAUGAAAUAAUGGACUAUGAUAUGUAUCUUUAUGACUUGUUUAGUGGUUGUGUUCCUGACUCAGUGGGCAAUCUAGGAGGAUGCUUCCUGAAAUUAAUUACUUUUGGGGCAUUUAACAUCAUUCAUGUUCACGAAACACUGCAAGCAACAAGACUUCUGAUUUUUCUCAUCUCCCUAAGGAAGAACAGAUCUGGGACUUGAAUCAAUUAAGUUUAAGCAAGAGGAGACUUGAAACAAGUAAGAUGACUCCUCUUGUCCUUUGAAGGAGAGAAGAAGCUCUUUUUUCACUCUAGGGUACAAGGCUGUGACCCACUUUCCUGCUUCACCCGUAUAAAUGGGGCAUGAUGGCCUGAUAUGAAAGGCAUGCAUGCAACCAUUAAGAUAAUCCCUUCCAGGAGUGCUUGUCUUCUGAAUAGCUUCCACUGCGCUUUGCAGCACCUGACUCACUCUGUCAUUCCUUGUAAGCCCUGACCUGAAGCAAUGUGACUGGAUGGGGACCUGUGACAGGUCUUGGGGACCUCACAGAAACGCACGUAUAAUUCAACUGCAUAAAAUAGCAAUAAAUGAAUAGAUAAGAGAUCCAGUUACUGUCAUUAUGGUCUUGAUUUCUCUUGAGGUCUUAGCAAGUCUUCUGAAGAGCAAGGUGCCCAUCAGGUGGUGCAUAUCCAAGCCAUGAUAGCCAAGGCUUAAACAUGCCCGUGCUGCCCCCAUGCCACAAUGCCCGGCACUCAGGCACACUGCUGUCUGCAGAACCAUGCCACUGGAAGGAGCCACAGCAAAGGUGGUGGAGAGCAGAGGACAAGUGUUGAAUAAAUGCCAGAACUGAUGCAAGAGAAGGCAGAAGGAAGAUAAAGUCAUAAGGGAGGAAGCAGCAACCACUUUGGGUGGUUUGAACUAUUGUAAAAUUGCAUUCAGAGCCAGCAGUGGCACCUAGAUCAAAACACAGGAUUUCCCUGUUCUAUUUGAUGUUGUUGUGGCUCUUUGCCUUUACUUUGCUGUCCAUAGUAAAUUUGCUUUGAAGCAAGCAUCAGGCUUUUAAGUCCUCU